GAUUUUCUCUUGGAGGAGGCCAAUGGGCUUUCCCCUGAUGACAAACUCACCCUCUUCUGUGAGGUGGGUGUGGUUCAAGAUUCCGUCAAUAUUUCUGGCCAGAAUACCAUGAACAUGGUAAAGGUUCCUGAGUGCCGACUGGCAGAUGAGUUAGGAGAGCUGUGGGAGAAUUCUGGUUCACAGACUGCUGCUUGUGUGUGGCUGGCCAAGAAUUCCAGGCUCACAAGGCUAUCUUAGCAGCUCGUUCUCCUGUUUUAAGUGCCGUGUUUGAACAUGAAAUGGAGGAAAGUAAAAAGAAUCGAGUUGAAAUGAAUGAUGUGGAGCCUGAAGUUUUUAAGGAAAUGAUGUGCUUCAUUUACACUGGGAUGGCACCAAAUCUCGACAGAAUGGCUGAUGAUUUGGUGGCAGCUGCUGACAAGUAUGCCCUGGAGCAUUUGAAUGAAGGUCAUGUGCGAGGAUGCCCUCUGCAGUAACCUGUGGAGAACGCUGCAAAAAAUUUCAUCCUGGCUCACCUCCACAGUGCUGAUCAGCUGAAAACUCAAGCAGUGGAUUUCAUCAACUAUCAUGCUUCGGAUGUCUUGGAGACCUGUGGGUUUGUCAAUGGUGGUGUCACAUCAAUGGUGGUGUCACAUCCGCACUUGGUGGCUGAAGCACACUGCGCUCUGGCUUCAGCACAGUGCCCUUUCCUGGGGUCCCCACGUAAAUGCCUGAAGCAAUCCUAAGAUCCUGCCAGUUGUCAGACUUCAUUUAUUUUCCAGAAGCAGCAGCCACUGUUGCUGCCACUGACCACCAGGUAGACAGCGCAAUCUGU